rnacentral:lncRNA from 1 species
AUAAAAGUCAUUAUCCUUGAGCAGUGCUAAUUGCAAGGAUCCUAAUUCAGAGGUGAUGCUAGCUACUCCCCUUUGUUCACUCCAAUCCCUUCAAGCUUGUGCCUAAAGUAACAGUCAUGUUAGGAGAAGGUGAGAGCUAAAAUGGUCGUGACAUUUUACGAGGCACAUUUUCAUGCUGUUCCGUACCUCCUCCUACUGCUCUUUUUUUGGUCCCCAGUUAGAGGAGCUAUGCCAGUCAUAUGUCUAGCUGCUGUGUGUGCCAGUAUAAUACUCCUCAGUGGGAAAACUCCUUACAACAGGCACUCGCCCUGCCAUCCUUAGCCUGUGCUCAUGAGGGGAAGGGAUCAGAUCCAUCUGUACUUCCCACCUGUUGCUAACUGAUCGAACAUUUUAUACUUUCCCUUUUACCCCCAUCUGCUGGUAAAGCGAAGCUGGCACAUACAAGCCUGUAACUACAGAGAGUGACUGGCAGUGUUCCUGCUUGCUUAAGACAAGUUGCUGAAGUGCUUCAGAGAUGGGGUGAGAAGGGAGAAAAUCCUGUUUUCUUGCACUUUGUACAUCACAAUAUUAUCAUGGGUAAAAUGAAGAGUGUUUCUCAGAAGUAUGCCUUGUGAUUUCUGGCCUGCUCAGACUGCCUGCUUCUUCCAGAUGAGAUGAUGUGACAAAUAAAUACUUAAGAUCUCUGAGAAGUACUCUGCCAUGAGUCUCCCCAGCAGAAGACAGGGUCAGGGGACCUGGCUGUGCCCAUUCCCUGUUUGCACCACAUUAGGAACUGC